rnacentral:lncRNA from 1 species
UCUGCCGCGGCCGGGAAGUUCGAACAGAAGUCUGGGGAAGAGCCGGCGAAGAGCAAAGAGAUAAUACAGUACUCCCAGCUAUAGCAAGCGGCAGUUAUGGAGCAUGCGCAGCAGCAGGGGCGGCCGCAGUCAAGGGAUUUGUACAGCCCUGUAGGAGACACCUCCAGAGAAAGUAACAGCUCUCAAUUGAUUAGCUGAGGAGACCGAUUUUGUAAAUCACUACUUUUCUAACAACACUGGCACAGAUGGCCAAGCAUUCUCCCUUUUCUCAGAGCUGGUUUUCCAUCCCGGAAAGAGAAUAAACAGAUGCUUUUACAGCUCGCCUUGGCGGGAAGAUCUGGCACAAAUGAAGUAUCUAUAAGGAGCAGCAGAGUCAAGGUGGUGAUCCUGUGGAUGAAUAACUGAAACCUGAUAUACUUGACAGCAGAAAAUAUAAAGCAAAUUGAAAAGGAGAGAGUGUGGAGAUAAAUAAGAAAAUGAAAGAACUGAUAAAGUCACUUGGAUUAAAAAACCUGGGAGUAAGGGCUUUGUUUAUGAUUGAACUUAAGAGAGAAUUGAGGGACCACCUACCUUUGAUGUUAACGAGAAAGUAAAGAGGAAACAUAUUUAGAGAUA